rnacentral:lncRNA from 1 species
UCACAAAGGGCACGGAAGGCUCAGUAUCAGCAGCUGGCAUGGGUUGUUUCUUGCUUGCUUAUUUGUUUUUUGUUUUCCUGCCACUUCCACAGGAAUUGCGUCUAUGACUGCUUCUCGAAUCGAAGCUGGCACACACAGUCUAGACAACCGUCUGCAAAACAGAGGCUAAUAGGCCACGUCUGAAGGGAAACCAGGGAGGUCUGUCUGGUGUGCUUUCGUCUGCUGGAGUUGGAUCCACUGAUGCUCCUCAAAUGCCCCACACUUCCUAACAGCUGCCCUGGUGACUCACCCAGUGCCGGGGAGAGGGAAUGCAGGCCGGACUGUCUGCAGUCACCGACAGCACCUACACAUCCGCCGGGCUCAUCCAGACCAGGCGCCUGCUGUCCACUCACCUGCACGUGGCGACCUAAACUGCAAGUUGUUUAAAUGGGACAAAGUAUUCAGUUUUUCUGUCACACAAGCCACAUUUCAAAGGCUAAGUUUGCUACAGUGGCCAGCAGUGACCACAGUGGACACAGAGCUGCAUGUUUCCUUACCGUGGACCGUGCUAUUGGGCAGCACCUGAUUAGGCCAAGCAGGAUUCAUCUUUGUGCCCAAACACCGAGCACCUGAGGAGAGUGUGCUGGCUGGUGCAGAGGAGCCUGCCUGGCCGGAGCGAGGACUGUGAGCUCACGAGGUUUCUGCCUGACUCUCGGUGGCUGAGGCUUCCUUCCCACCUACUCUCUGUGCCCAAAUAUUUCUACAUAGGUCAAAGGGGACUUUGCAGAUGUUGUGGAGGGCUGGAGCUUUUCACUGUGCCCUCCACAGAGCGCUGGCCUGGGCUUACCUCCCUCUGCUGCCCUGGGAGGAAGAGACCGUACUGGCCUAAGCUUGCAGGGCGACCACAGGCCUGGCUGUGGCAGCCCCUGGAAAGCCCUGGCGGAUAUCAAUGGGAAAGGACAAGCAGAAGACAUGAUCUUUGCCUGUUGUGA